CAACUCGAACACCAUCCGCAGCAUUUGCGAUAUCAGUGCCAUCCGUCAGGUCGUUCGUUCAGUAUCGGCACGUGGUGUCCGUGUCUUGCAGCGGUGCGGUAACAACAGAAGCUAAUGAACACAGUCUGGCUUCGUGGUCGUACUGGCAGCGCAGAGCAGCAAGUGAUAUUACGCUUCAUUCCCCCCUGUACGAAGGAGAAAUGCUUAGUACCGAACGCAUACUAGGGCCCAGAUGUGCAGAGCACUAUCACCUGAAUCCUCCAUCCUGUCAACAGGUAGCACCUUGUGUCCUGAGAACUCGUGUAUCUGCGGUGAUUGGUCAGGAGCACAUCGAUCUGUGUGAACGUCAAAAAACGACGUGCCAGCAGAGAACAGGGUGCAGUGGAUGCACACACACUGUUUUUCUCCACCACGGUGGACAGGAGACGCCGGACUACCCGACUCUGUGAGGGCCCUGAAGGCUUUUCAAGGCAUCAAGCUGAUGGUGUUUGGAAAUGGCUAGUUCCAUCCAUAAGCAAGUUUUACUUUGGUUGUAAAACUUCAUGGAGGUUUAUGGCCAAUGAAGCUCUUACAUGGCAUAGAAGACAUCACAGACCUCACGGAGGCCAUCCUAGCAUCAUUGUGUGAGGAUACCAAGUAAUAAUAAUAAAAUCACAGAUAUUUUGCUCCUGCGGGAGC